UACGAAGGGGGCUAGCGUUGCUCGGAAUCACUGGGCGUAAAGCGCACGUAGGCGGCCUCAUAAGUCGGAUGUGAAAUCCCUCGGCUCAACCGAGGACGUGCAUCCGAAACUGUGAAGCUCGAGUAUGGAAGAGGGUCGCGGAAUUCCCGGUGUAGAGGUGAAAUUCGUAGAUAUCGGGAGGAACACCAGUGGCGAAGGCGGCGACCUGGGCCAAUACUGACGCUGAGGUGCGAAAGCGUGGGGAGCAAACAGG
rnacentral:rRNA from 1 species